UUGACUGCACUCUAGCUAUCUGAAAACAAUUAUCAAACUACAAAAUACUAAGGCUUAUUACUUCCAUCUUAAUUCAAUUUAUAAUCCAUUCUAUGACUAUCAAUUCAACAAUACUUCUAUAUUCUUAUCAGUUCAUCUCCCACUUACUCUCUUUGCAGUUUAAAUAUAUUCAAUUACUGAUCUCCAGCUUACUUAUUAUAUUCAGUUUCUCAAU
rnacentral:lncRNA from 1 species